rnacentral:rRNA from 1 species
UAGGGAAUCUUCCACAAUGGACGAAAGUCUGAUGGAGCAACGCCGCGUGAGUGAAGAAGGGUUUCGGCUCGUAAAACUCUGUUGUUAAGGAAGAACAUAUCUGAGAGUAACUGUUCAGGUAUUGACGGUAUUUAACCAGAAAGCCACGGCUAACUACGUGCCUG